AUACAGAACAUGACGAGUUCCAAAUAGGACGAAAUGCGCGUCCUGGAU
rnacentral:hammerhead_ribozyme from 1 species